rnacentral:rRNA from 2 species
CAGGUUGAAGCGAGGGUAAAACCUCGUGGAGGACCGAACCACGUUGCUGUUGAAAAAGCAUGGGAUGAGCUGUGGAUAGCGGAGAAAUUCCAAUCGAACUCGGAUAUAGCUGGUUCUCCUCGAAAUAGCUUUAGGGCUAGCGUCGUGAAAUGUGAGUACUGGAGGUAGAGCACUGAAUAGGCUAGGGGGCAUAGCGCUUACCGAACCUUAUCAAACUCCGAAUGCCAGAUACUAUCAGCACGGCAGUCAGACUAUGAAAGAUAAGUUCCAUGGUCAAAAGGGAAACAGCCCAGAUCGUCAGCUAAGGUCCCAAAGUGUAAGUUAAGUGGAAAAGGAUGUGGGAUUUCUAAGACAACUAGGAUGUUGGCUUAGAAGCAGCCACUCAUUAAAAGAGUGCGUAAUAGCUCACUAGUCAAGAGAUCCUGCGCCGAAAAUGUCCGGGGCUCAAACUUACCACCGAAGCUACGGGUUCAUACUUUGUAUGAGCGGUAGAGGAGCGUCGUAAUCGGGCUGAAGUCGUACCGUAAGGAGCGGUGGACUGAUUACGAGUGAGAAUGUUGGCAUUAGUAGCGAGAUGUAGGUGAGAAUCCUACAGGCCGAAUAUCUAAGGUUUCCUGAGUAAAGUUUGUCUUCUCAGGGUUAGUCGGGACCUAAGGCGAGGCCGAGAGGCGUAGUCGAUGGACAAUUGGUUGAUAUUCCAAUACCACUAUAAUCGUUAUUAUCGAUGGUGUGACGGAGAAGGAUAGGAUGUGCCAGCUAUUGGAUGCUGGUCUAAGCGUUGAGGGAGUUAGAACAGGCAAAUCCGUUCUAACAAUCCUAGGGCGUGAUGGGGAAGGUUCUACGGAACCGAAGUAUCUGAUUUCAUGCUUCCAAGAAAAGCAUCUAGAAAGAGAAGUAGUGCCCGUACCGCAAACCGACACAGGUAGAUGAGGAGAGAAUCCUAAGGCCGACGGAAGAAUCACAGUUAAGGAACUAGGCAAAUUGACCCCGUAACUUCGGGAGAAGGGGUGCCUACCAUUUGGUAGGCCGCAGAGAAUAGGCACAAGCAACUGUUUAACAAAAACACAGGUCUCUGCUAAAGCGUAAGCUGAUGUAUAGGGGCUGACGCCUGCCCGGUGCUGGAAGGUUAAGGGGAACACUUAGCGCAAGCGAAGGU